rnacentral:snoRNA from 1 species
CUCGGUGUAUGGGCACAGUACCUCCAUAACACCUUUCAUUAAUAGAGGUGUUCUCAGGGCUGCCAACCUAACAGUACAGGUUGUCAUAGUAUAUCUCUCCUGUAUUU